rnacentral:lncRNA from 1 species
AUUUCGUCUUGAAUCUACAUUUCCAAAUACACGGUAUUUCUAUGUUCCCGUAUGUAGGAGGAUCAGGUGUUAACGCCUCCCACGAGUUCACCCCUACAGCCCUACUAGCUCAGAAAAGAACAAUAGAAGACAGGCUAGGAGGAAUUGAUGGGGGAAAACAAUCAAUAACAUUACGAAACAGUUAAAUUCGAAACAAUUUUACUUAAAACAAAAACGAUAACAUAUUAACGAUUAAAUCCUAUAUAGCGAUAAAUUUAAGAGAACCUUGAAAAUUAUGCAAGGUACAUAUAAAAAACCUUCUAAGAGAACCACUGAACAAUACCCUGAUGAAAGAACAUAAAAUGUUCAUGGUCAGUGAUAGCCAAAUGGAAAAGUGAAAUAAUUUACCAAAUAGAAUGAAGAAAUUAGUAAACGGGAGCUCCCUUCAGUCCAAUCACAGAGAAGAAUAGGAUGAAAUUUGUCUCCCGAAUCAUUCACACAUUCACAGUAUUACAGAGACGUAUUCUUCUACUGUGUUUGAAUGAAUGAGUCGGCAGCUAAUUCAAAUCCUUCUCCCUUCCAUAAGUGGACUGAAGGAAGCUCCCAAGAACCAUUAACACAUUCAAAAAAUUCACAGGGUUUUCAUCGGUUCACACAGAAAUAAUUCUUUCAAGAGUUGCACAUUCAACAACAAUUUUUUUGCUUUUAUUGAAUGAUAAUGAGAAUUUAAAUCUGAAGUAUAUUCAAGCUUAUCACACACAAAAGAAAAGGUUAUAACUCAAAUGUUUACGUCUUAUUUGUAAAUAUUAGCAAUUGCUAAACAAAUACUGGUGAUAAACCCUCUUGUUAUUUUGUUUCAGUAUUGCAUUAUCGAUACUCUAAUUGGUACACUUAACUGAUUUCAUCUAGAAUAUGUACUCACUUCUUAAAUUGACUUCUACUAUAUAAAAUUAUAUGUCUUACCCUCUGGAAAUCCAGCAUUACCCUGAAAGAUCCCAUUCUAGAACUCGUAGAAAUUUCAUCGAUGGCCAAGGGCUUUGAUCCUCGAAGGGAGUCUUUAUGUCUAGGACGGCCAAGGUAUAUUAAAGUUUUACUCCCUCUGAGGAAGGAUUUGUUGUAGAGCGCCUAAUUUUAUUCAUCGACUAGUAUUUUAGGUUAUGAACAACAAUUACCAAAUUUUAGCUAGGAAACGUAGAUUUAAAAUACAGGGCGAAGGCCAAAAAAUAAUUAAAACUAACAGAG